UACGUAGGGUGCGAGCGUUGUCCGGAAUUAUUGGGCGUAAAGACCUUGUAGGCGGUCUGUCGCGUCUGCUGUGAAAAUCCGGGGCUCAACCCCGGACUUGCAGUGGGUACGGGCAGACUAGAGUGUGGUAGGGGAGACUGGAAUUCCUGGUGUAGCGGUGAAAUGCGCAGAUAUCAGGAGGAACACCGAUGGCGAAGGCAGGUCUCUGGGCCACUACUGACGCUGAGAAGCGAAAGCAUGGGGAGCGAACAGG
rnacentral:rRNA from 1 species